rnacentral:rRNA from 1 species
UUGGGCGUAAAGAGCUUGUAGGCGGUUUGUCGCGUCUGCUGUGAAAGACCGGGGCUUAACCUCGGUAUUGCAGUGGGUACGGGCAGACUAGAGUGCAGUAGGGGAGACUGGAAUUCCUGGUGUAGCGGUGAAAUGCGCAGAUAUCAGGAGGAACACCGAUGGCGAAGGCAGGUCUCUGGGCUGUAACUGACGCUGAGAAGCGAAAGCAUGGGGAGCGAACAGGAUUAGAUACCCUGGUAGUCCAUGCCGUAAACGUUGGGCACUAGGUGUGGGGGACAUUCCACGUUUUCCGCGCCGUAGCUAACGCAUUAAGUGCCCCGCCUGGGGAGUACGGCCGCAAGGCUAAAACUCAAAGGAAUUGACGGGGGCCCGCACAAGCGGCGGAGCAUGCGGAUUAAUUCGAUGCAACGCGAAGAACCUUACCAAGGCUUGACAUAUACUGGAUCGUCGUAGAGAUACGGUUUCCCUUUGGGCUGGUAUACAGGUGGUGCAUGGUUGUCGUCAGCUCGUGUCGUGAGAUGUUGGGUUAAGUCCCGCAACGAGCGCAACCCUCGUUCUAUGUUGCCAGCACGUGAUGGUGGGGACUCAUAGGAGACUGCCGGGGUCAACUCGGAGGAAGGUGGGGAUGACGUCAAAUCAUCAUGCCCCUUAUGUCUUGGGCUUCACGCAUGCUACAAUGGCCGGUACAAAGGGUUGCGAUACUGUGAGGUUGAGCUAAUCCCAAAAAGCCGGUCUCAGUUCGGAUUGGGGUCCGCAACUCGACCCCAUGAAGUCGGAGUCGCUAGUAAUCGCAGAUCAGCA